rnacentral:lncRNA from 1 species
AGUGGUUAUUAGACUCCAAUAAUUACCCUAAUCUGUUUCUUUUACAAUUAUAAUGUACUUGUGUUCUCUAUUAUAUAACUAAAAAUACAGUAUACAUAUUAAUCUUUUAAGUAACAUUAUAUAGUAGACCUAGCACUAUUUAGUCAAAUGCUUUUUAAUUUCGGUUGAUUUUAUAGCAUCUAACCCCUAGAAUCUGUAUACUAAAUGCUUUUUCAGAAGCUAUUGACUCUUCUCCCCAUUUUACAAGGAUAGUAAAUUAAACUGAAAGUCCAGUUAUGAAAUGACAGGUCGUUUACUUGUGAGAGGUUUUUCAGUAACCUUCUUGAUGGAGUAACUACAUCUAAAUUACAGUGACACCCUUAACUGCUUUAUUUACCUUUCACAGGUCAAAUGUACCAUCAUCGUAUACCUUAAAAAUGUACUCUUCAAUGGCAAAAUGUUUUCAGAACAAAAAAGCAUGAGUGAAUGAAUAUGUCAUUCUCAGGACAUAGAAAAGUGCCAGAGAAGCGUGAGUGGCAGCUGCCUGAAGGGUGAAGAAAUUGAAGAGGGAAGAAGUAUUGCCUUGUUUCUCCAGGCACUGACUUUCACAGUGAUAGCCACUGGUAUUCUCCUAAUAAUCUGUACUUCCUUGGUUCCUGAGACAAUCCUGAACAAGGUAAGAUGUUAGUAGCCCCAGAUCCAUUGGUUGGUAAGACCUGGAAUUAGCAGUGCUGUCCACAGAUCAAGGAUAAGCCCGAGGUGUUCAGGUGCUGACAAAUUGCAAAAGUACCUUCCUACUACCCAGCUUAUAUUUUAUGAUUGGACCAUACCCAUCAGAUCCUGGC